UGCUGCGGCGGCUGCAGGUGCACCUGGAGGACAUGGAGCUGCGCCUGGAGCUGCCCCCACAGCCUGGGGGGGGCCUGGGGGGGGCCCUGGAGCUGCACCUGCCCAGGGUGGAGUACGAGGACAUGGGGGAGGGUCCCGGCCCCCCCCCCGUGCUGCAGAAGCGGCUGCGGCUGCACGACCUGCGGCUGCUGUGGGCGGAGCCAGCCCCACCUGGGCAGCAGCGCUGCAGUUCCCCCGCCGCCCAUCUGGGGGCGCUGCUCCCGGGCCCUGCGGAGCUGCGGCUGCGCCUGAGGCGGAGCGAGAGAGCGGCGGGGCCGGCGGUGGGACUGGGGAAACUGGGGGGAACUGGGGGGACUGGGGGGGACUGGGAGGGACUGGGAGGGGACUGGGAGGGGACUGGGAGGGGACUGGGAGGGACUGGGAGGGACUGGGGGGGACUGGGGGGGGAUUGGGGGGACUGGGAGGGGGAUGGGGGUUUGGUUUUGGGCAUUUCUGGGCAAUUUGGGGUCUCAUUUUGGCAUUUUUGGGGUCUCGUUUUUGGGGAUUUUAGGGUGUUUUUGGGGUCUCGUUUUGGGAUUUUUGGGGUCUCGUUUUGGGGGUUUUGGUGUCUGGUUUUGGGGUUUUUGGGGUGUUUUUGGGGCCUCACUUUUAGGGUGGUUUUGGGGUCUGGUUUCGGGGUUUUUUGGGUGUUUUUGGGGUCUCAUUUUGGAGUUUUUGGGGUGAUUUUGGGGUCUCACUUUCGGGGUUUUUGGGGUGUGUUUGGGGUCUCGUUUUGGGGUUUUUGGGGUGUUUUUGGGGUCUCACUUUUGGGGUGUUUUUGGGGUGUGUUCGGGGUCUCAUUUCGGGGUUUUUGGGGUGUUUUUGGGGGACUCACUUGCGGUGUUUUGGGGAUGUUUUUGGGGUCUGGUUUCGGGGUUUUUGGGGUGUUUUUGGGGUCUGGUUUUGGGGUUUUUGGGGUGAUUUUGGGGUCUGGUUUCGGGGUUUUUGGGGUGUGUUUGGGGUCUGGUUUAGGGGUUUUUGGGGUGAUUUUGGGGUCUGGUUUAGGGGUUUUUGGGGUGAUUUUGGGGUGACUUUGGGGUGAUUUUGGGGUCUGACCGCCCCUCCGCAGGUGGAGCUGGAGGCCACCGUGGGGUCCCUGCACCUGCUGCUGCCCCCCCCCCCUGCUGGGGGUCCUGCGGGGGGCUCUGGACCCCCCCGGUGAGAGCCCCUCCCCACCCAGCACCCCCAACCCGGCGGGACCCCAAACCUGGGGGGGGAGGGGCUGGGGGGGGUUGGGGGUCUCCUGGACCCCCGAAUCCUCUGGGGGGCAGUGGGGUAUUUUGGGGGGGGGUUUGGGGGGGCUUUGAGUUAUUUUGGGGUGUUUUUGAGGUGCUCCGUGCCGGUUUUGGGAUGUUUUCGGGCUGUUUUGGGGCGCUGUGUGUUAUUUUGGCAGAUUUUGGGGUGCUCUGUGUUAUUUUUAAGAUAUUUUGGGAUAUUUUGGGGCAGUGUGUGUUAUUUUGGGGUGCUCUGUGUUAUUUUUGGGAUAUUUUGGGGUGCUGUAUGUUAUUUUUAAGAUAUUUUGGGAUAUUUUGGGGCAGUGUGUGUUUUUCGGGGUAUUUUGGGGUGUUCUGUGUUAUUUUUGGGUAUUUUGGGGUGCUCUGUGAUAUUUUUGGGUAUUUUGGGACGCUCUGUGAUCAUUUUGGGAUGUUUUGGGCUGUUUUGGGACGCUCUCUGAUAUUUUUGGGUAUUUUGGGAUGCUCUGUGAUAUUUUUGGGUAUUUUGGGAUGCUCUGUGAUAUUUUUGGCUAUUUUGGGGUGCUCUGUGAUCAUUUUGGGGUGUUUGGGGCUGAUUUCGGGCUCUGCCCCCCCAGGUCCCCCCCCCGGGGGUCGCAGCCGCCCCCUGGGCCCGCAGGACCUGGCGCUGAUCGAGCGGGAGCUGAGCCGGGGCCUGCGGGGGGGGCGCGACCCCCCGACCCCCCCCGGGGGCGACCCCGACGGCGGUGAGGGGGGGGGGGGGCUGGGGGGGCUCCGGGGUGGGUUUUGGGGGGGUCUUGG
rnacentral:lncRNA from 1 species